rnacentral:rRNA from 1 species
AACGCGAAGAACCUUACCUGGAUUUGACAUCCUUUGACAUCUGUAGAGAUACAGCUUUCGUAGCAAUACGACAAAGAGACAGGUGCUGCAUGGCUGUCGUCAGCUCGUGUGGUGACAUGUUGGGUUAAGUCCCGCAACGAGCGCAACCCCUGUCCUUAGUUGCCAGCAUUCAGUUGGGCACUCUAAGGAGACUGCCGUGGUUAACACGGAGGAAGGUGGGGAUGACGUCAAGUCCUCAUGGCCUUUAUAUCCAGGGCGACACACGUGAUACAAUGGACGGUACAGAGGGAAGCGAAACCGCGAGGUGGAGCCAAUCUCAAAAAGCCGUUCUCAGUUCGGAUUGGAGUCUGCAACUCGACUCCAUGAAGUUGGAAUCGCUAGUAAUCGCGGAUCAGCACGCCGCGGUGAAUACGUUCCCGGGCCUUGUACACACCGUAGAGAC